rnacentral:rRNA from 1 species
GUGGGGAAUAUUGCACAAUGGGCGCAAGCCUGAUGCAGCAACGCCGCGUGAGUGAAGAAGGCCUUCGGGUCGUAAAGCUCUGUCCUUUGGGACGAAUAAAGUGACGGUACCAGAGGAGGAAGCCCCGGCUAACUACGUGCCAGCAGCCGCGGUAAUACGUAGGGGGCAAGCGUUAUCCGGAAUCACUGGGCGUAAAGGGUGCGUAGGCGGUUCUUCAAGUCAGAAGUGAAAGGCAGUGGCUUAACCAUUGUAAGCUUUUGAAACUGAAGAACUUGAGUGCAGGAGAGGUAAGUGGAAUUCCUAGUGUAGCGGUGAAAUGCGUAGAUAUUAGGAGGAACACCAGUGGCGAAGGCGACUUACUGGACUGUAACUGACGCUGAGGCACGAAAGCGUGGGGAGCGAACAGGAUUAGAAACCCCAGUAGUCC